rnacentral:rRNA from 1 species
GGCUAGAGUUUGAUCAUGGCUCAGGAUGAACGCUAGCUACAGGCUUAACACAUGCAAGUCGAGGGGCAUCAGGAAGAAGGCUUGCUUUCUUUGCUGGCGACCGGCGCACGGGUGAGUAACACGCAUCCAACCUGCCCUUUACUCGGGGAUAGCCUUUCGAAAGAAAGAUUAAUACCCGAUAGCAUAAUGAUUCCGCAUGGUUUCAUUAUUAAAGGAUUCCGGUAAAGGAUGGGGAUGCGUUCCAUUAGGUUGUUGGUGAGGUAACGGCUCACCAAGCCUUCGAUGGAUAGGGGUUCUGAGAGGAAGGUCCCCCACAUUGGAACUGAGACACGGUCCAAACUCCUACGGGAGGCAGCAGUGAGGAAUAUUGGUCAAUGGGCGUUAGCCUGAACCAGCCAAGUAGCGUGAAGGAUGAAGGCUCUAUGGGUCGUAAACUUCUUUUAUAUAAGAAUAAAGUGCAGUAUGUAUACUGUUUUGUAUGUAUUAUAUGAAUAAGGAUCGGCUAACUCCGUGCCAGCAGCCGCGGUAAUACGGAGGAUCCGAGCGUUAUCCGGAUUUAUUGGGUUUAAAGGGAGCGUAGGUGGACUGGUAAGUCAGUUGUGAAAGUUUGCGGCUCAACCGUAAAAUUGCAGUUGAUACUGUCAGUCUUGAGUACAGUAGAGGUGGGCGGAAUUCGUGGUGUAGCGGUGAAAUGCUUAGAUAUCACGAAGAACUCCGAUUGCGAAGGCAGCUCACUGGACUGCAACUGACACUGAUGCUCGAAAGUGUGGGUAUCAAACAGGAUUAGAUACCCUGGUAGUCCACACAGUAAACGAUGAAUACUCGCUGUUUGCGAUAUACAGUAAGCGGCCAAGCGAAAGCAUUAAGUAUUCCACCUG